GGUUCCAUAGUGUAGUGGUUAUCACGUCUGCUUUACACGUAGAAGGCCCUGGGUUCGAGCCCCAGUGGAACCA
rnacentral:tRNA from 1 species